CUGAAUAAAAGAAACAAAAAAGAAAGAAGGGAAAGAAACGAAUAAUAGAUAAAACA
rnacentral:ribozyme from 1 species